rnacentral:tRNA from 1 species
UCCCCGGUGGUCUAGUGUUUAGGAUUCAGCACUUGCACCGCUGUGGCCUGGGUUCAAUCCCUGGCUGGGGAA